AAUUAUUUUCAUCAACAUUUUAUUGAAAAAAAAACAAUUGUACAAAAAAAACCCUAACAGCUAACUCAAUCAUCGAAUACAUCAACUAAUUCUAUGAUUAAUAAAGUCUAUACACGAAAAUGAAUUACAGAAAAAAUGUGAAAAUGAAUACCAAAACUAUGUACACUUUAACAAAAGCAUGUCUCACAACUUCUAAAUUAAUGAAUGAUCAAAAUAAUACUUUCCUUCAGUGUAUUUACACAUUCAUCUUGACUUAAGCCAACUGAACAGUCUGUUUUUCAGUAACAAAGCGCCAUCAUCGUAACCGAACCCACACAAAGAGACUUCUCCACGAUUUUCUUGGGUUUCUGCAACGAAACUGCUAUGGGAGGCUGAGGAUUUCGAAUCAGAUUUCUGGUACCAAACACAUCGAAAAAUUUCACUUCUUCUUCCGCUAUAUCCGGAAGAGAAACUAUGUUGUGUUCCACUGGAUAACUUGAUCCCAAAUCAGGAUAAUGGUUGCCCUGGAGUUCGUAGUAGUUUCUUUCAUCGAUGAUUCUUGCAAAUGCACUAGCGAAGAAGGUCAAUGCAAGACAAAUUGUUCUGGGAUCCAUUGCUCGUUAGAUGCUCUUCUUCACUGCUGCUUUAGAUCAGUAAUGCACAUUUCAAUUCCCCACUUUUCAUUUAUAGGAGUAUCACGAUGCUUCUUAGAAAUUCUCGGGGAUUUCUGUAUCGGUGUUAUGAGAAGAUAAAUAUAACUGUAUAUCAUCUGCGUAUAGAUGUACUUCAUAAUGUGAUGAGAAAGUGGGGUAAUCAAAAGUAAACACUGAAAACAGGUCCUGAAAUACUUCCCUGCGGUACACCUGACAUUGUUUCUUUUAGGGAUGACCAUGAGUAAUCAUCCAGUUUGACCCUCUGUGAUCGGUGUGUCAGAUAGCUGGUCAUCCAUUUAAGAGAAAUGUUAUCGAAUCCUAUGAACUUGAGCUUGCUGAUGAGUAAAUCGAAAUUAACUAAAUCGAAAGCUUUACUUUGAUCAAGCAGUACUGAAAUCAUCACAAAAACCAUUCAAGAACAAAAAGGAGUACAUUAUGUUGACCUGAAAGCAUAUAUGAAAAUUGUGAUUUCUAAUUACUAGUCAUCCAUGUGAUCAAUAUCUAAAAUGAUGACAUCAAGCCAUGGAAAGACACCCCCAAACAACGAAAACAACAAAUCAUAAUGACUCGUUUGCGUACUGGACAUACAAAGUAUACUCACGAACACUUACUGAAAGUGGAAGAAAGUCUCAGCCUGAUUUAUACCUAUUUCCUUUGUUUGAAUAAAGAAAAUAAAUUUGA